rnacentral:rRNA from 1 species
AGAGGGGUGCGAGCGUUAAUCGGAAUAACUGGGCGUAAAGGGCGCGUAGGUGGGUUAUCUAAGCAUGAUGUGAAAGCCCUGGGCUUAACCUGGGGAUGCCAUUGUGAACGGGGUAACUAGAGUCUCGUAGAGGAAAGUGGAAUUUCCGGUGUAGCGGUGAAAUGCGUAGAUAUCGGAAGGAAGAUCAGUGGCGAAGGCGGCUUUCUGGACGAAGACUGACACUGAGGCGCGAAAGCGUGGGUAGCGAACAGGAUUAGAUACCCUGGUAGUCCACGCUGUAAACGAUGAGUACUAGCUGUUGGAGUGUUAAACACUUUAGUGGCGCAGCAAACGCGUUAAGUACUCCGCCUGGGGAGUACGGCCGCAAGGCUA